GGUGUGCCUUGCGAUGCUGGCAGGCUAUGCAGCGGCGGCCCCAACCGUAGUAGGCCUUGGCCAUCACCAUCACCACCACGGCCAUCUCCUCGGCUAUGGAGGCUACGGACACGGCCACAUCAUAGGCGUUGCUCCCCACCAUCACCACCAUCACCACUACGUUGAUGACAUCUUCUUAGAUGUUGGCUAUGGCGGGUACGACUACUACUGAACCCUGGACAACAAAAUAGAGCAGCCGAUGACGGACGACUUUUCAACUUGUAGAUGUACACAUUUUCUCCAUUAAUAUUUAUUGAAACUGUGAA